UCCUACCUCCCGGCAGCCUCUCCAGGCCCAGAACUUUCUCCAGUCAGCCUCUACAGACCAAGCUCAUGACUCACAAUGGCCUAUUUAGGCCCAUACCCUACGUCACGGCAGCCUCCGCAGAUGAGGCUACUGCCUCACAACAGUCCAAGGCUGGAGUGUAGUAGUGCUAUCGCAGCUGACUGCAGCCUCAACCUUCCAGGCUGAAGCGAUCCUCCCACCUCAACCUCCCACGUGGCUGAGACUACAGGUGCUUGCCACUAUGCCCAACUAAUAUUUGGAAUUUUCGUAUACGUGGAUUCCAGAGGGGUGACAGCGAAACGUGGGAACAUCCAGUUGCAGGAAAACAAGCUUAACACGCCCACUGAUUC
rnacentral:lncRNA from 10 species